GCUUACGGCCAUACCACCCUCGAACGCGCCCGACUCUCGGAAGCUAAGCAGGGUCGGGCCGUGGUUAGUACUUGGAUGGGAGACCGCCUGGGAAUACCAGGUGCUGUAAGCC
rnacentral:rRNA from 15 species